rnacentral:rRNA from 1 species
UCAAGCCGGAGGAAGGCGGGGAUGACGUCAAGUCCUCAUGGCCCUUAUGGGCUGGGCUACACACGUGCUACAAUGGCGAUGACAGUGGGAAGCAAUACCGCGAGGUGGAGCCAAUCCCCAAAAGUCGUCUCAGUUCGGAUUGUACUCUGCAACUCGAGUGCAUGAAGUUGGAAUCGCUAGUAAUCGCGGAUCAGCAUGCCGCGGUGAAUACGUUCCCGGGCCUUGUACACACCGCCC